CUGGGAGUCUCCUUUAAACAAGUUUUUGAACACCUUACUAUUUCCCUCAAUCAUAAGUUAAAUAAAAUCUUUGACACAUGUUCACUUUAUGAUUGUAUGAAGGUCAGGAUUUACUUUUUUUUUCAAAAAUAAAUCAUCAUUUAACUUUAGACUUUCUUCCCAUAGGUUAGUAAUCCUAAGAUCCCCAGCCCAUCUUCAGGAGGCUCACUCUGGAUGUGGUAGAGUCUCUUUAUGUUGCCCUAAGUUU
rnacentral:lncRNA from 1 species